CUCUUCCACAGAGGCUGGCACGCACCUUAAGGCAGGUGCCCACUGGAACCCUGUCUGUGGUGUCAAGGAUUUUACAGUUGACCUUGAAGACCACCUAGUCCAAAGCUCUCAUUGUACAAAAAGCCAAGCCCAGAGGUCACACAAAGCUUUGGACCUGAGCCUCUGGGCCCCGCGGUCUGGAAAGUGCUCCUUUCUCUGCAUGCUACGGGGCUAUCAACUUGAGCUGGUCCAGUCUGCAGAUCUACAUCCUGCCCGCCUGAGCAGAGGCGGGUGUGGGACCAGUGCGGAUCUCCACGAUUUGUCAGCCCAUCCUGAUAAGUCUGAGGCUCUGACCAUCAUAUCUCAUCACAGCAUCAUUAGGAUUACAAGUGCCAUGCGGUAGAAGAGGAAGGGAAACACGAACAAAAGGAUGAGAAAUUAAGCCCAUUUCACCCGGAAAAGAUGACUCUGAUUUAUUGCUCUAUAGCAGCUGACGAUGGCCUGUCAGAGAAAUUCUGUGUUGAAAAUAAAGAAUAAAAAUCACCCAGAGUUGUUUUGCCACACAUCCAAAUUAGAAAAUGCUACUCUCCGGAUGAUUUAUGCUUCAAUUUUUUCCCUUAUUCACAGAGAAUUUGUCCAGCAUUACAAGAGCACCUAAGAGCAAUAAUACAAUUCAAAAGGAGAUAGAAGAGGCCGCAGAGGUGUUGAUGUGCGGCUGAGGGCGGGGUGCUGGCCCAAAGGCAGGGCUUUGGUGCUCAGAAGCAUUGACCUUACAGGGAGGAACAAGGAGAAACCAGCCAGGCAGGCCCCGCAGGCAGCCCACAGAGCCACUUCGCCGUGCAGCCGAGGGAGUCCCGCACCACGGGGCCUCGCUCAGGGUAGCCACCAUGGGAGAAUGUCCCCACCUCGUGGAUGUCAGGCUUGGCCACAGGUCCUUGGCCACGGGACCUGAGCAGAGUGACAUAUGCCACACUGGAUCAGAAGCACGCUGGACCACCACGUGGUAUGGCUCCCUUUCUUUCUCCCGUCAUAAGUACAAGAUGUUGGCUGACCUGACUCCUGGGGUAGAAAUGUCAUGUAGACACUGGGCGCGGUGGCUCACGCCUGUAAUCCCAGCACUUUGGAAGGCCGAGGCAGGUGGAUUGCCUGAGCUCAGGAGUUCGAGACCAGCCUGGACAACAUGGUGAAACCCGUCUCUACUAAUUUACAAAAAAAAUUAGCCAGGUGUGUUGGCACAUGCCUGUAGUCCCAGCUACGUGGGAGGCUGAGGCACGAGAAUUGCCUGAACCCCAGAGGUGGAGGUUGCAGUGAGCCGAGAUGGUACCUCUGCACUGCAGCCUGGGCAACAGAAUGAGACUGUGUCUUCAAAAAAAAAAAGCACUGUCAUGCAGGGCAGGGUCCCAAGGCCCCAGCCAACCUCUCGUUGACAUGUAAUGUAAGAAGAUGUCAACUCAUGCUUAUAGUCACUGACAUUUAGGAAUAGUCUGUUACCACAGCAUAAGCUGGUAAAAAAAAAAAAAAAAAUCAUACAGCUCUUCUUCCCGGAACGCCCCUGCACCUCUGCUCCGGUGCACAAAUGCUUUCUCUUCAAGGCAUGGCGCAAAAAAGCCACUACUUCCAGAAGCAUCUCCUCAUUCCCCGCCGGGAGCAACAUCUCUCUUCUCGAGACCCCAGCCCCUCCGCUGUCUACCCAUGGACUUCCUCAGUGUUUGUUUUUUGCAUGAUUCUUUGUGACCAAGCUGUUUCUCCAGCUGCCUUGAGGACAUGCCCUAGGGAACAGUGCUCUGAAUCGUACCUGGAUUCUGUGCCUACCUGCUCCAUCUAAAGCAGAAAACUCCACAACUAAGAUCUCUUCUAACAUUUAAGGAAUAGAGCCUAAUUAGCGCAUGAAUACGUGUUGAACUGUGAAUGAAUCAAUGAGUAUGGAAACUACAUUAUACGCAGUGCUGAUAGAACCAAGUUGCCAAGGGAGAUAUCAUCUCUCCUGCAGGAAGGAAGUCCUGCCUCCCACUGAUCCACUCAGCGCACAGCCUUGAACAAAACAGAGCAAGAGUUAUAACCUUCAGAUGUGGGGGCAGAAUAGGACCCAUUUGGGCAGACACAGGCCACGGAAACCACAGGGCCAGCGUCUUGAGCCCUCGAUCAGACGCCUCCCGCCCACCGCGGCCGCUUCUCCACGCUUUUGCCCAGAUCUCUGCACCGCGUGGCCCGGUCUUGCCUCCCUGAGGACCACACUGGCUGCAACCCAAACUCGACUCUUCUACUUACACUUGCUCAGCAUUUUUGUCAUCCCUGCCCUUGGCCAAUCCCUGUCUUGGUUUCUGCUCUUCCCACACAAAGUUUUGGGAAUCAAUUCAUACAUAUUUGAGAUUAACCAAAGUCCAUGAUCAGUUCUGGACCGCUAUGGAUUCCAGAUCCACCUUACGUAGCCGUGUGAGCUCCGGUAAAUUACAUAACCCAUCAAAUUUCUUUAUCUAUAAAGCAGCAACAAUAAUGUCACGAAGGAUUAAGGUAAAGAUGAGAAAUAGUAUAGCAAAAGCAUCUAC
rnacentral:lncRNA from 1 species